GGGAUAUUAGCUCAAUUGGUCAGAGCUCCCGGCUCAUAACCGGAUGGUUAUAGGUUCAAGUCCUAUAUAUCCCA
rnacentral:tRNA from 1 species